GCCAGAAACGCCUUAGACACACACACACACACACACACUUUCAUAAAAGUACUUUGGACUCACGCGCACACAUAGUGGGUGUGUUAUACACACUCGGUAUCCGGAUAGUUUUAUUUAGUUGGUAAGAUUUGCACAUCCUUGAACUCUUAACAUAGGAGCACUGAGACACUGCACUCGCCCAAAUCCAUAAGCCAUAGGUGCUGGUAGAGAAAGGCUUGACAGUUGGUGGCUCUGGUCAGUCAGUCGGUUGCGGUUUCUUCACGAUGGGGCUCAUAUUCAGCUGGCUGAGGGGGCCAAGGCCCCUAGACUCCACACCCCUACUGGACGUCACCGUAGAGACACAGGCCAUACCCAUUCCUGAGGCCCCUGUGUCAGCUCUUGCUGAAUUUAAGGUCCAGGUCGAAAACUACGUAGCCAUUACCACAGAGAUCGCACAGACUCAUGACGAGCCGUGGCUCGAGGCUGAAGUGGAGGCUGAAAUAGUUGACGAGGUCCAAGCGAAAGUAGAGGCAGUAGUUGAGGAAGAACCAGAGCCCGAUCCCGUGGUCAAGGCCGAAGCUGCCCCAGUUGUAGAAGCUGAACUUGAAGAGUCGGGAAUCAAAGACGGAGACAAUCCUAUCGUCAAAGCUGAAGCCAUUCCUGAAGAUAUUGAUGUAGAAAAGCAUGAGACUGUUAUGACAGAGGCACCUGAAGAGGUUCCAGUGGAGACAGAAAUUAUCCCAGAAAAGCUGUGGAAGCCCGUGGAAGCACCGGUCGAAGAAGCCCCCGUAGCCGAGGUCGCUCCAGCAGAGCUCCUUGUAGAGGCCCCAGUAGACCCUGUCAUCAACAUAAUGGCUGACUUUGCCAUCACAGAAUCUGUUCCCGUUGCGGAGGCAGCCAUGGCUGAACAGGUGCCCGCAGUCCCAACGGAUUCACUUGACGCCCUAUCGGAGUUGCUGAACGACGUCACUCUAGUCACUGAGCCCGCCCCUGUCACAGCUGAUAAAGUCAUUGACGAGCCAGAGUGUGAGGAGAAAGAGGCUAAAGAGGAAAUUGAAGCCCAGAUGGAAAUCGAGGCUAAAAAGGAUGCCAUAGAUGAGAAGACGGUCCUUGACGUCAUCUCUGGAGAUUUAUCUGCCCCCGACUCUGUCAUCUCAGAACUGCAGUGUCACACGCAGCUCGCCGCCCCCAAGGAUAUCCCAGCAGAGGCCGUGCUGAAUGGACAGAUGGCAGCUGAGGUGGCCAUUGAGGGAUAGAUCUCUAUGGAUUUCCUCAGUCAGUAUGAAGGACUGAAGAGAGCCUGACGGUGAGCCGACCAGCGAACUUUACUUUUCAUUUUUUAGGGCUUAAAGGGACCGCUGGGAAAUUUGACAGACAUCCAACAAUCAGUGCCUUUCUUGCUUGGGUUCUUACAAAAAAAAUAUUAAACAAGUUUAAAAUGCGAUAUGAAGGUGGGGGAAUAAGACUCUUUUUUUAAAACCAGAAUGUGACAAUUUGGAAUAAACAAAUGAUGGCUUUCAUAGAUUUCUGUAUCCCAUUGCAUGUAUUGUAGAUUUGCAUCAAUUGUAAAUGGCAUGCAUUGUGUAUGAAUACUGUAGAAUUGAUGAAUGUGGCAAUGGCUUGUCUUCACAUUUGGACCAUGUUUGUAUGGAUGAGAGGGAUUAAUUCCUUGUACACGUUUCCUGUUUUAACCUGGUUUGACUCCUUUUUGCGAAGGGACAGUAUCGCAGUUUGUACAGUACCAUAGCUACCCCCUCUUCUCCCUAUCACCAUUGUGGUACUUUUGUUUUUUCAGGGACUGUAUGAUGACAGCUCCACCCUCUUUAUUGUGUAGUGUCAGUGUGUCUACAGUCCCAAGUCUGUCCUGGGCAAUGUGAAAUGGUGUGUAGUUUUAGGUCCUCUGACCAGAUGCUCUUAACAUUUAAUUACCUACGCUGCCAACUGAAAACAGAGUACGGGGCCUGUAGAUCCUGUUUUUCUUUUCUAAUUCUGUUUUCAUAGACCAUAUGAUGUGGUACAACCGCUGUUUGUGUUCUGUUACGUGCUUUGGAAGAGACAAUGGAGUUGUCAUGUAAUUGAGGAGCUGGGUUGGAUUUCAUUCACCUUUUUGAAUAAAGAUGUUCCUCACCAAGUCCUUGAUUCAGUUGUUGGCCUGUGUUCUACAUUCCUUAGUAAUCAUGUUUUUGUUUGUUUUAACACAUUCAGCUUGAAUUCCACAUUAGCAUAACGUUUGAAACUAUAAAUACUUC
rnacentral:lncRNA from 1 species